CCUACGGGGUGCAGCAGUGAGGAAUAUUGGUCAAUGGUCGGGAGACUGAACCAGCCAAGCCGCGUGAGGGAUGAAGGUACAGAGUAUCGUAAACCUCUUUUGUCAGGGAACAAAGGCGGGGACGUGUCCCCGGAUGAGUGUACCUGAAGAAAAAGCAUCGGCUAACUCCGUGCCAGCAGCCGCGGUAAUACGGAGGAUGCGAGCGUUAUCCGGAUUUAUUGGGUUUAAAGGGUGCGCAGGCGGUCUGUUAAGUCAGCGGUCAAAGCCCGGGGCUCAACCCCGGCCCGCCGUUGAAACUGGCAGGCUCGAGUUGGAGAGAAGUAUGCGGAAUGCGCGGUGUAGCGGUGAAAUGCAUAGAUAUCGCGCAGAACUCCGAUUGCGAAGGCAGCAUGCCGGCUCCACACUGACGCUGAGGCACGAAAGCGUGGGUAUCGAACAGGAUUAGAUACCCUUGUAGUC
rnacentral:rRNA from 1 species